GGGGUAGCUUGCUACCUGCCGGCGAGUGGCGAACGGGUGAGUAAUACAUCGGAACGUGCCCUGUAGUGGGGGAUAACUAGUCGAAAGACUAGCUAAUACCGCAUACGACCUGAGGGUGAAAGUGGGGGACCGCAAGGCCUCAUGCUAUAGGAGCGGCCGAUGUCUGAUUAGCUAGUUGGUGGGGUAAAGGCCCACCAAGGCGACGAUCAGUAGCUGGUCUGAGAGGACGAUCAGCCACACUGGGACUGAGACACGGCCCAGACUCCUACGGGAGGCAGCAGUGGGA
rnacentral:rRNA from 1 species